rfam:Postia placenta Mad-698-R POSPLscaffold_169_Cont6327, whole genome shotgun sequence.
ACACCGAUGGUGAAACGGUAUCAUGCUUGCCUUCCACGGUCGGUCUUUGAUAGCAAGCGGCGCGGGUUCGACUCCCGCUCGGUGUA